AAAGGUCCCUCUUUCACUCCAAAUUCGCUGGAAAGUACCGGUAGCAGAGGAUCUGUCUUCUGGAAACUUCUACAGCAGACCGUAUCGUAGGCAUAAAGGAAAAGUGUAAAAGUGAAGUAAAAAAUAAAAGAGGAAUAUCAUAAUGGGAAUAAUAUAAUAAAAGAUUAUCAAGUCGUGAUAAUCGUACUGUCAUGGAGAGUAAAAAAGUGUAAAAAAGAAGGUACCUUCCAUCACUGCGGACGAAGGCCAUUUCGCCGCGUAGAGACCCCCCGCGGGUUGCGGGUUCAAGGCACCGCAGCCAGGGGGCAGCAAACUCCUUCUCCUCCCGCGCACAUGCCCCCACCCCCCUUCACGGUGCGUCUGUCUUAGUGGACGCAAAUUAGAGCCGAAAACCAUGCAAAAAAAUAAAUAGCCACCGGUGCGAAAAGGUCAACGUGGUAAUUAAAUUUUGACGUCUAACAACGUGCUGGAUUUGUUUUAAUUACCUUCCGAAAAUAGAAAUGAUAAUGAAGCCUGCAGGACCAAAGUUUGUAUGGAGAGCAGAGGUCAAGGACCAGAGUGGAGGAGGGGCCACCUUAUUGGGGUUUCUGCAGAACCCCAUCCUCCCACCCUUGGCCCAGGGGGUGCAGUGGACCUUCUCAGUUAGGCUCUGUCUUCAAUCAACACGUGUGACCCGUGACUUUUCACAUGUGGCUGCUGUUUCCUCCUGUCGUCCAUCAUCAUGCCAACCUUAAAAAGGGGAGCAGCACCGCAGCAUCAUGACCGUGGAGGAGACGAACCGCGAACGGGCAUCCACCUGCUUUUCCACGACCGAAGAGUGCGGACGCCCAACGGCAGCACCGCGCAUCAGGUGAGAGGCCUCCUCCAUGUGCCCUUUCACCUGAGCGCUUUGAUUGGUCAGGCCAGUC
rnacentral:lncRNA from 1 species